GUUUGCGUAGAAAAGGAGUGGGCCGGCCCAUCACGGGCUGCCCCUUUGGUCCGAUUACAAUGGAUGCGGCCCCAAGUGGGCUUGUGUGAUCGGGUGUGUGUGUUGUGCGAUCGGAUCAUGUUGUGCGUUUGGGCCAUUAUAUACAUACAUACAUACAUUACGUUACACAAAGCACAUAAUCAUAACAUUCAAUAAUCAUAAUGGUUCACAUAAGCACGUAACGUUACGGAAAGUAGAUUCAAAUUACGAGUUGUCACAAAGUGUGUUUGAAGGUAUGUUGUAUUUUCAUUCAAUGCUAUUUUUUAAGGUGUAAUAGUGGUUAUUCAAUUUAUUUUUGUUAACAAACCCACAGAUUAAGGUCGUACUAUCUCCUCUCUGGAACACGGUUUUCUUGAAUUGGCCUACCUCAUGUGAUCCACCAAUGCAGAGAUCAUCAGGGCAACUUGAUCUUCAAUCAUGCAGACAUUAUCAUUAAUAAGUGACAAACUUAAGCCCUUAUUUGAUCAAUUCUUAGUCUAUGGAAGCUUUGUGUCUUGCUUAUAUUUCGGCUGAUAUCUUUACACUGGCACGAAGUAAUCUCUUACACAU
rnacentral:lncRNA from 1 species